rnacentral:rRNA from 1 species
UACGGGGGGGGCAAGCGUUGUUCGGAAUUACUGGGCGUAAAGGGCUCGUAGGCGGCCAACUAAGUCGGAUGUGAAAUCCCCAGGCUCAACUUGGGAACUGCAUCCGAUACUGGAUGGCUUGAAUUCGGGAGAGGGAUGCAGAAUUCCAGGUGUAGCGGUGAAAUGCGUAGAUAUCGUGGAGGAAUACCGGUGGCGAAGGCGGCAUCCUGGACCGACAUUGACGCUGAGGAGCGAAAGCUAGGGGGAGCAAACGGGG